UACAGAGGUCUCAAGCGUUGUUCGGAUUCAUUGGGCGUAAAGGGUGCGUAGGCGGCGUGGUAAGUCGGGUGUGAAAUCUCGGAGCUUAACUCCGAAACUGCAUUCGAUACUGCCGUGCUUGAGGACUGGAGAGGAGACUGGAAUUUACGGUGUAGCGGUGAAAUGCGUAGAUAUCGUAAGGAAGACCAGUGGCGAAGGCGAGUCCCUGGACAACACCUGACACUGAGGCACGAAAGCUAGGGGAGCAAACAGA
rnacentral:rRNA from 1 species